AAUUCAUGGUGCGGACAUUUUUGAAUCAAUAUUUUGAAAUGUUCCUACGCCUCACAGAAGCUUUCUCCCUCAAUUUUUCUAAAGACAACAAUCUCUCUUCUUAGUU
rfam:Gossypium hirsutum cultivar TM-1 chromosome 25, whole genome shotgun sequence